CAGGCUCCAUACUGUCAGCACAAAGCCUGACAUGAGACUCGAUUCCAUGAACCAUGAGAUCAUGACCUGAGCUGCAAUCAAGAGUUGGUUGUUUAACAGUCUGAACCACCCAAGGCACCCUUAUGGGUGACCAUCUUUCUAGUAGGGCUUGGCAUUCGGAGUAUGUCCUUUUGAAACAAUAUAUAUGUGUGUAUAUAUAUAUAUAUAUAUAUAUAUAUAUAUACACACACACACAUAUAUAUAUGUAUAGGAUAAAUGUAAAUACCUCUUCUCUGGUGCAGAAAUCUGGGCUUGGGGGGAUUAUUGACACUUGAGCAGACUCUUUGGGGACCACUGAGACCAAUGGAUGAAAACAGUUGAAGUAUGACGUGAACAAGGAGCCAGCCUGUUCCAGAGAACGUGAUGUCUUUUCCCUUCUCUCUGGGAUCCAACAAAUCCCAUCCCCCAGCUCCUCAGUGGCCCCGGAUGACCCGGCCUGGCCAAUCAGUCCUUCAUCCCUCUGGCCUCAGUGACUGGAUGAGAGAUGGGCACAUGGCUAAAACCGGGCCAGAGUUCUCUCUGGAACUUUCUGCCAGUGCUCCUGAGAAAAAUACUGGCUUUUUCUUCGGGUUUGUGGUGGAAAGAACGAUACGAGUUGAGCACACGCAGUCACAAUCUUACUAGUUUUGAAAUAGCCUGAGAAGGGAAAGAGCAUUUGUGAGCAGAACUGGGAGAGAGAGGGAGGGGCGCAGGGAGAAGGAGAGCCGGAGGACAGCGUUCCAGUUCCCAGCCAUUGUGAGCUGAUCACCACCCUGUUCAGUACAGUAAAGCAGUAGAUAGAUUUUUUUUAAACCUAAUGUCACGUUGUCUCCUGCCAUGCACAACUGAGAGAAUACGGACUGCCACCAUAUUCCAGGGACCGAAUUGCGUUUUCCGCAAAUUUGGAUGUUGAAACCUUAACCUCUAAUUUGACUGUAUGAGGAAGUAAGGCUGUUAGGAGGUAAUUGGGGUUAAAUUCAGUCAUAAGGGCCAGGUCCUAAUUAAGUAGGACUGGCAGUCUAUAGGAAGGGGAAGAGAGAGAUCUCUCUCUCUCUCUCCAAGCGCACUCGCAGAAGAAAGGGUACGUGAGCACAUGGCAAGAAGGUGACUGUCUACAAGCCAGAAAGGGGCUCCUCCCCAGAGCCCCACCAGCUGGACACUGACCUUGGACAUCCAGCUUCCAGAAUGUGAGAAAUAGAUUUCUGUGGUUUAAGCCACUCAGUCUAUGGUCAUUCUUUUUUUUUUUUUUUUUUUUUUAUGGCAUCCUGAGCAGAUUUCUACACUGUUGUUAACAAUUUUUGGCAGCAAGGUUAGGAAGAAAAGGUAAGGUGGACAAAGACGCAGAUCCUUGGGAAACUGUAACCUUGGCCAGGGAGAGGUUUCCUAGACUAGUAAUGUACCUGAUGACUGGGUUGGGGGGGGCGCUGGCUGGGGGACCGUGCACCUUCAGUUCUCUCGGCAGGGCGAUAUACAAGCAGAGAUCACGGGCUCGACCAUCACCGAAGUUACUGUUAGUCGAUGGGUUGGUGUCUGAGUCUUAGAGUUACUGAAUAUCUUAAGUAUGACACCUGUCCCCUAUCUUGCUGGGAGACCGUGGCCCUGGGCUUAGGAGCAAGUGAUAAAGGAGGAGGUGAGAAGGCAGCGACAAGGCAGGGAGGCCAGGGAGCACAGAUCAGGGCUCACAGUGGUGCUUUAAGGGCUGGGGAGAGCCUGCGCAAUGCCCCAAAGGCCAAGAGCAAACUGGGGCAAGAGGAGGCAUGCUUUUCCCGACUCUGGGUUUCUCAGCGGGAUAAUACAAAGCAUAAAUACUUAGAUGCAAAGAUGGAGAAAGUUAAAGAGUAGAAAGACAGCUGUAAAUAUUAGCAAGCUUCGUGGCAGGAGAGUGGGGUUGAGGAGCCCCUGAAAUCAGAACACAUUUACUGCAAUGAUUUAGGAUGCUGUGAAGGAUGAAAGGAAGCUCAGGAGAAGGCAGAGCCAAAAAUGAAUAUGCAAAUCAGGAUGCAAAUGAGACAUGCUGACUUUGGGCCAAGAUUUUUUUUUUACUUAGUAAUGAAGGUUUGGUGAUUACACUGACAAUUAUGCCCGUCUUAUUUAUGGUCAUUGCUCAUAGUUGUGACAAAGGUCAUUGCUUUUUACACACACAUGUUGUUCACCCUCAGCUAGUUUGGUGUUUUCCAUUUCUUUCCCAAGGUCCCAAGCAAACGAUUCAUAUGUAAUCUUGAAUCACCAUGUAUCCUGAAGAUGGGAAAGAUCAUCCCUGUGACACAGCUCUCAUCCAAGUUGACGUUUAACUCUCACAAAGGAACGUGCACGUGGAGUAGCUUCAGCGCUUCCCAUGUGAGGAGCUCUGUCCCCCCAGCAGCCAGCCGUGUCGUCAGGAGCGGGGCCACAUGCUGAGUGUCUGAGACACCGGGCACGCCACUUGGACAUUUUCAUGUUCAGACUUCCGCUACGAGAAUGGAAAUGGUCAUACACCUGCACGCCUGGGGCUUCCUCCUUCUGUGACUUGCCACCCACGCUGGACCGAGGAAGGAGGUCACGUUCAUGUUCAUCUCACAUGUUCCAGUAGGCGAUUCUCAGUCUGUCCCACGGUUUUUGUUUUUGUUUUUGUUUUUUUUCCUGAACUUGAAUAUCAGAGAUUUUUUUUUCACACUCAUUGAUUUAAUCCUGAUGCUUCGUUUAAAAUUAUUCCCAUCAUGCUCUCUAUUGACAGAGGCGGUCCGCCGCGGUCGGUUUUCAGCAAUGGGAAGCAGCAGCGUGGGCUCCUUAGGUACCGGGGUUCUAGCAGCAAACAGACCUGGUCUCAGUCCAGGCUUAACGGAUUAUUGAAUGUGUCAUCCACGGCAAGUUACGUAUCUCCCCUAAUUCCCGUCUGUGAAAUGGGAAUGAUGACAUUCUCCUCAUAGUGAAGAUCCAACUGGGUGAUGCAUUAAACAGGGUGCUAGGGUGUAGCACCUAGAAAUGCUCAACAAACCUCUUUUUACUAACAUUACUACUCUCGUCAUUGUCGUCACCCUUGCCGUAGCCAUCCGCAUAACUUAUGACCAAGUGUCUCACCUCAUCCCCCUCCCCACCCCCCUGACUUAUUUCUGUCCUCAAGAGGACUUUCUGCCACAGGAGAAGAGAUCUUUUUAAGAGCAGUGAGCUGUGAGACACGUAAGGGACAGGCCAGGACAUUUGUGGCAUAAGGGGUAUCGAUGCCCUCGUGGAAAGACUGUUAAGAGAAUUCAGUGAGACCAAAGGAAAUCACACGUACGAACAGCAAGGACUCAGGGAAAGUGAAAUUGGAGCUGUGUUACCCACCACAGACCCUCUCUGUCUCCUCACCGGGGGGAGACAUUCUGUCCUGAGCAUCUUUCUUCCGGCAGGAACUUGAGGGUUUAUCUCCUGGGCGUGGAACUCUUCAAAGGAGUUCAGAAGUCCUCAACUAGUGUUUCAGGCUAUCUGCAGCAGUGAUUCUCAACCGUAAAGCAUGGAGCAAACUUACAGGGGUAGAGGUGAAAGUGUAAACUCGUAGGGAUCUCGGAUAUGUCAAAACUUUGGGAAGACCCUUCUCUCUCCCCCCCCCCCCCAUACACACACACACACACACUCAUCACACUUGGUUCAGAAAGCUGGGCCAAUUGAAUAUGACUUCUCCCUGAACUUGCUGAAUAUUGAGCAAUACGGUAGCAUACACACACAUUUAAACUGAGAGUGAAAACAGAAACCAUUAAUCUAUUUUCAUCUCUAUCUCAUACUUCACUUGCGCAGAGUAGAGCAUUAUUUCCACACUCUGAAAUGGCCCAUUCGCCAAUAGGAGGAUGCGCAGAUCUUUCCGGAAUAGCUCUAUCAUGUUAUAUAAAGUUCCGUUAGAACUGAUGGUUUCCCAAAAGAGGAAGUACAAACCUUCCCUAGAAAAGGCAGUUGGGAGUAAUCCAAAAAUCAGAGUUCAGUCCAAAUAGGUGGGAACCAGGCCCAAACACCAGAAACCGAGGACACAGAGAACAGCAGAGAGAACAGGGAAUGAACACGAGUUGAUGCUGAUUUCGGAAGCAUCCACCUGACAGAGGCAGGUGCCUGAAAAACCCCGCGAUGGGCUCUGGGAGUCCUCCUCAGGGCUCUCGGGGCGAUGUGUGUGCAUCAGACCAGGAGUAGGGAGCACGUACCUGGGCCCAGUGCAGCAUGGUCUGCACAGAUGUUCCCGCAGAGCUCUGUGCCAAAUAAACAUCCAAGCGACUCUGCAAAAUGGAGAUUAUUUCUCACCGGGAGGCUAAUCCUAUGACCACACCGCAAGUAAACUUGAAUAUUCUCUUUCUCUCUCUGGGGAAUAAACAUGAACCAUGCCCUCUUUAAGAACCGUCUCCUCCCGUAGCUCUGUUCUGUCCUGUAUAGUCUUCAUAAA